rnacentral:rRNA from 1 species
UACGAAGGGGGCUAGCGUUGCUCGGAAUUACUGGGCGUAAAGGGCGCGUAGGCGGAUACUUAAGUUAGAAGGUGAAAGCCCAGGGCUCAACCCUGGAAUAGCCUUUAAUACUGGGAUAUCUUGAGUUCGGGAGAGGUGGAGUGGAACUCCGAGUGUAGAGGUGAAAUUCGUAGAUAUUCGGAAGAAACACCAGUGGCGAAGGCGACUCAC